AGACACCAGUGAUGCAUGAUGGAGUAGACGGACAUCGCCAUGAUACAGAACCUCAGCAAAAGUGGUCUUGAAAAAUAUUAUUUUGCCCCAUUUUUGCUGCGUCUCGUUUUUGACAGUUGCCUAGAUCUAGACGCUGGAUGGAGAAACGCGGACAAACAGAUGACGUAGCAUAAUCCAACCCAGCUUCGAGAUCUGUUUCUCUCCUUCGCUUCUCAUCCUCCAAGUCAACUUCCGCCGGCCCCGACUGGAUAGCCUGUUUCGCCCGGUUGCGAUGACUCCCAUCCAGGACAUUUCCCGCCAAUUUUCGGGGGGGAAAGAUUGGAUGGACGCAGUUGCUCUUUAUUGCCCCAUAACUGGUUCCAGCGAACGAAGGAUCAAGUAAGAACUCAAUCAAGAAAAAUUCCGGGCGCAAACGGGGCAUUCCGUCUUUUGUUCUUCUAUCAUCAUCCCAUACCAAAAGGGCGUUCGUUCACAUGAUGUGCAGUUUAAACUCUCCAGGAAUCACCUCAAUGGAAACAACCCCUGGGCGUGCCCGUAACUUUAUUGCUUUAAGCUUCCAUCGGGCGGACCAUCAUAGCGAUUGUGGGGGUGCCAAAAAACGUGGUGCCAAAUUCGGCCGGUUCCAACUUUGACUCAUGGCAGCAACCCCAUUAAAACUACGACAUCAAUAACACACUUGUGUCUAAUUCUGAUUAGGAGUGAUUUUUUCAUAUUUCUCAAACCCCU
rnacentral:sRNA from 2 species